GACAGAGGCCCCGAGCGUUAAUCGGAAUUACUGGGCUUAAAGGGUGCGUAGGCGGCCCAGAAAGUGCUUUGUGAAAUCCCCCGGCUCAACCGGGGAACAGCGGGGCAUACUGCUGGUCUUGAGGCAAGUAAGGGUUGCGAGAACUGUAGGUGGAGCGGUGAAAUGCGUAGAUAUCUACAGGAAUGCCGAUGGUGAAGACGCGCAACUGGGCUUGUCCUGACGCUGAGGCACGAAAGCGUGGGGAGCAAACAGG
rnacentral:rRNA from 1 species